UACAUGGGGUGCAAACGUUGCUCGGAAUUAUUGGGCGUAAAGCGCACGUAGGCGGAUCGAUCAGUCAGGGGUGAAACCCCAGAGCUCAACUCUGGAACUGCCUUUGAUACUGUCGAUCUGGAGUAUGGAAGAGGUGAGUGGAAUUCCGAGUGUAGAGGUGAAAUUCGUAGAUAUUCGGAGGAACACCAGUGGCGAAGGCGGCUCACUGGUCCAUUACUGACGCUGAGGUGCGAAAGCGUGGGGAGCAAACAGG
rnacentral:rRNA from 1 species